rnacentral:rRNA from 1 species
AGAUUAAACUAAAGAGUUUGAUCCUGGCUCAGAUUGAACGCUGGCGGCAUGCCUUACACAUGCAAGUCGAACGGCAGCACGGAGCUUGCUCUGGUGGCGAGUGGCGAACGGGUGAGUAAUA